AGUGAACGCUGGCGGUAGGCCUAACACAUGCAAGUCGAACGGCAGCACAGUAAGAGCUUGCUCUUACGGGUGGCGAGUGGCGGACGGGUGAGGAAUACAUCGGAAUCUACUUUUUCGUGGGGGAUAACGUAGGGAAACUUACGCUAAUACCGCAUACGACCUACGGGUGAAAGCAGGGGAUCUUCGGACCUUGCGCGAUUGAAUGAGCCGAUGUGGGAUUAGUUAGUUGGCGGGGUAAAGGCCCACCAAGGCGACGAUCCGUAGCUGGUCUGAGAGGAUGAUCACCCACACUGGAACUGAAGCACGGUCCAGACUCCUACGGGAGGCAGCAGUGGGGAAUAUUGGACAAUGGGCGCAAGCCUGAUCCAGCCAUACCGCGUGGGUGAAGAAGGCCUUCGGGUUGUAAAGCCCUUUUGUUGGGAAAGAAAAGCAGCAGGUUAAUACCCCGCUGUUCUGACGGUACCCAAAGAAUAAGCACCGGCUAACUUCGUG
rnacentral:rRNA from 1 species